rnacentral:rRNA from 1 species
UACGUAGGGUCCGAGCGUUGUCCGGAAUUACUGGGCGUAAAGAGCUCGUAGGUGGUUUGUCGCGUUGUUCGUGAAAACUCACAGCUCAACUGUGGGCGUGCGGGCGAUACGGGCAGACUGGAGUACUGCAGGGGAGACUGGAAGUUCCUGGUGUAGCGGUGGAAUGCGCAGAUAUCAGGAGGAACACCGGUGGCGAAGGCGGGUCUCUGGGCAGUAACUGACGCUGGAGGAGCGAAAAGCCGUGGGGAGCGAACAGG